rnacentral:misc_RNA from 1 species
CAAAGCCUCCCCAACUAAUAUUGAGCCUCUUAUAGGUGUUUCAUGCUCCAGGUAUUUGGCCCUGGGCGUGAGGAUGGUGGUUUUAUUAUCCCACAUUGGUUUGGGAUAGGAUAAUGUUACAUAUUAUAAAAGAAGGAAAAAGAAUAAGUAGUGGCAGGGGUCAGAUAGUUAGAAUUGGAGGGAACUCCUGUAACAACUUUUGGAGG